UACGUAGGGUGCAAGCGUUGUCCGGAAUUAUUGGGCGUAAAGAGCUCGUAGGCGGUUUGUUGCGUCGGCUGUGAAAUCCCGAGGCUCAACCUCGGGUCUGCAGUCGAUACGAGCAAACUAGAGUGUUGCAGGGGAGACUGGAAUUCCUGGUGUAGCGGUGAAAUGCGCGGAUAUCAGGAGGAACACCGGUGGCGAAGGCGGGUCUCUGGGCAACAACUGACGCUGAGGAGCGAAAGCGUGGGGAGCGAACAGG
rnacentral:rRNA from 1 species